AUGACUCACACACAUGGCUGAUCUACAUAAAUAGCAUGUGCUAAGAUUACCAUCUGGUAUAACAAUCUACAUCACAAGACUCCACAUUUCCUGUUACCCCAAUUAAGGUUUGUUGGGAAUUUUUUCCCUUUUCACAUAUGGCAAUAUUUAUCUUCAAAGUCCUUCUCUUUGGCUCACAGGCUCCUUUAUAAAGCAGCUGGUCUUGUGUGGCCUAAUUGUGAGAUGAUUUGUUGUGUGAUUCAGUAGCAUUGUUUAUUUGUACAGCGGUUCGGUGGAAUUUAUAAACUGCAUAAUAUUGUUCUAGACUGUUUUCCUUUUAGUAAGAAGCCACAUUUUCUCCAGCAUUCACGACUGGGAUUAUAAUUAGGUGGAGCACUCGAGAUAUUUUCAUCCCAACUUGAGAGCUUGUAACAAAUGCUCACAUGUAACUAAUACAAGCUGUAAGUUAUUUCUAAUUAGUCCUAGCUGUUCUCAGGAAAACUUGACCAAUAACUCAUGGAAUGUGUCAGCUCUAAUUGCCUGUGUGGAUUGGCACAAGUCAUGCCUCAAAAUUGGAAAAUUGUCACAUAUAACAUAGUCCUGCAGGGGGAUAAAUGUG
rnacentral:lncRNA from 1 species